rnacentral:lncRNA from 1 species
CACAUGAUAAGGCAGUAACAGCUGAUUAUCUCAGCCCUCACAGAGACCCUGUUAUCCGCCCCAUUUUUCAGAAGGGGAGACUGAGGCCUAGGGAAGCAAAACCUCUUGCUCAUAGUUUGUCAGCGGCAGAGGUCUGAUUGGAACAUGACUGAAACCCCAGCCCAGAUCCUCAGACAUGAGACGGUGCACUCAGCCUUAAUGGCUAGCAGGCAACAGCACUUCCACU